rnacentral:rRNA from 1 species
UACGAAGGGGGCUAGCGUUGCUCGGAAUCACUGGGCGUAAAGCGCACGUAGGCGGACUCUUAAGUCGGUGGUGAAAUCCUGGAGCUCAACUCCAGAACUGCCUUCGAUACUGAGAGUCUCGAGUCCGAGAGAGGUGAGUGGAACUGCGAGUGUAGAGGUGAAAUUCGUAGAUAUUCGCAAGAACACCAGUGGCGAAGGCGGCCCACUGGCUCGGUACUGACGCUGAGGUGGCGAAAGCGUGGGGAGCAAACAGG